AACGAACGCUGGCGGUAUGCUUAACACAUGCAAGUCGAACGAACAAAAUUGGGGCUUGCUCCAAUUUUAGUGAGUGGCAAACGGGUGAGUAACACGUGGGAAUCUACCUAUCAGUACGGAAUAACAUUUGGAAACAGAUGCUAAUACCGUAUAUUCUCCAAGGAGGAAAGAUUUAUCGCUGAUAGAUGAGCCCGCGCAAGAUUAGGUAGUUGGUAGGGUAAUGGCCUACCAAGCCUACGAUCUUUAGCUGGUCUGAGAGGAUGAUCAGCCACACUGGGACUGAGACACGGCCCAGACUCCUACGGGAGGCAGCAGUGGGGAAUAUUGGACAAUGGGCGAAAGCCUGAUCCAGCACUACCGCGUGAAUGAUGAAGGCCUUAGGGUUGUAAAGUUCUUUUAGUUGGAAAGAUAAUGACGGUACCAACAGAAAAAGCCCCGGCUAACUCCGUGCCAGCAGCCGCAGUAA
rnacentral:rRNA from 1 species